CAGUCGAACGAUGAUGCCCAGCUUGCUGGGUGGAUUAGUGGCGAACGGGUGAGUAACACGUGAGUAACCUGCCCCUGACUCUGGGAUAAGCGUUGGAAACGACGUCUAAUACUGGAUAUGAUCACUGGCCGCAUGGUCUGGUGGUGGAAAGAUUUUUUGGUUGGGGAUGGACUCGCGGCCUAUCAGCUUGUUGGUGAGGUAAUGGCUCACCAAGGCGACGACGGGUAGCCGGCCUGAGAGGGUGACCGGCCACACUGGGACUGAGACACGGCCCAGACUCCUACGGGAGGCAGCAGUGGGGAAUAUUGCACAAUGGGCGAAAGCCUGAUGCAGCAACGCCGCGUGAGGGAUGACGGCCUUCGGGUUGUAAACCUCUUUUAGUAGGGAAGAAGCGAAAGUGACGGUACCUGCAGAAAAAGCACCGGCUAACUACGUGCCAGCAGCCGCGGUAAUACGUAGGGUGCAAGCGUUGUCCGGAAUUAUUGGGCGUAAAGAGCUCGUAGGCGGUUUGUCGCGUCUGCUGUGAAAUCCCGAGGCUCAACCUCGGGCUUGCAGUGGGUACGGGCAGACUAGAGUGCGGUAGGGGAGAUUGGAAUUCCUGGUGUAGCGGUGGAAUGCGCAGAUAUCAGGAGGAACACCGAUGGCGAAGGCAGAUCUCUGGGCCGUAACUGACGCUGAGGAGCGAAAGCAUGGGGAGCGAACAGGAUUAGAUACCCUGGUAGUCCAUGCCGUAAACGUUGGGCGCUAGAUGUAGGGACCUUUCCACGGUUUCUGUGUCGUAGCUAACGCAUUAAGCGCCCCGCCUGGGGAGUACGGCCGCAAGGCUAAAACUCAAAGGAAUUGACGGGGGCCCGCACAAGCGGCGGAGCAUGCGGAUUAAUUCGAUGCAACGCGAAGAACCUUACCAAGGCUUGACAUACACCGGAAACGGCCAGAGAUGGUCGCCCCCUUGUGGUCGGUGUACAGGUGGUGCAUGGUUGUCGUCAGCUCGUGUCGUGAGAUGUUGGGUUAAGUCCCGCAACGAGCGCAACCCUCGUUCUAUGUUGCCAGCGGGUUAUGCCGGGGACUCAUAGGAGACUGCCGGGGUCAACUCGGAGGAAGGUGGGGAUGACGUCAAAUCAUCAUGCCCCUUAUGUCUUGGGCUUCACGCAUGCUACAAUGGCCGGUACAAAGGGCUGCGAUACCGUAAGGUGGAGCGAAUCCCAAAAAGCCGGUCUCAGUUCGGAUUGAGGUCUGCAACUCGACCUCAUGAAGUCGGAGUCGCUAGUAAUCGCAGAUCAGCAACGCUGCGGUGAAUACGUUCCCGGGCCUUGUACACACCGCCCGUCAAGUCAUGAAAGUCGGUAACACCCGAAGCCGGUGGCCUAACC
rnacentral:rRNA from 2 species